GCCCGGUUAGCUCAGUCGGUAGAGCAUCAGACUUUUAAGCGUACCACGCCUGUGUGAUGUGAUCUGAGGGUCAGGGGUUCAAGUCCCCUAUCGGGCG
rfam:Branchiostoma floridae genomic scaffold BRAFLscaffold_208, whole genome shotgun sequence.